AAGCUCACUUGGGAAACACAUACAUUAAAACUAGAACAAUCCAGAGAAGAUUAGCAUGGCCUCUGCACAGGGAUGCCACACAAAUUUGCGAACCAAUGAUAUUUUUA
ensembl:snRNA U6 U6 spliceosomal RNA